CGGCCGCCGAACCUGCAUGGGAGGCAGUCUUUCGGCUGCCGAACGUGCCCCCGAAGGCUGAGUUUCGUUUCUGUCCUGGGGUUUCGGCCGCCGAACCUGCCGCCGAACCUACCCGAGUUUCGUCUCUGGAAGGGACUUUCGGCCGCCGAAGGUGCCGCUGAAAGUGCCCUGUCCAGCCGUUUCAUGGGUGUUUUCUAUGCAUGUUUCUAUGAUGUUUUAGAGGGGUUUUUGGGGGUAUGUUUAUGAGUUGUUUAGAGUAUGUUUGGCACCUCAUUCGAGUCCACCUGUGUAGGAUCGGACCCGAGAGACCGAGGAGGCCAGUAGUGUUAGCUGUGCAGAGCAAGUUCAGCGUCUGCCAGAGGUGAGUAGAACUAAACUAAAUCUUUAUUUUAUGAAAUCAAAUGCCUAAAGCAUGCUCAUGCAUCAUGUUUAUAUGUAAUAGGUUGAUUGCACUAGUUACACGAAUAUGAAGCAUUGCAUUAUUUACUGUUGAUGGAGAUUGGACCAAGGGCGACCCCACUAGCCCCAUGGAAAAGACCUGGCUGGGCCAGGCAUUACGAAGUCCUGUGGUGCCCUCUAUGGUGGCCGGGCAAAUAGCUUAGGGAUGUUUUGGGGUUGGGUCCAAUCCGUGAUAUGAUUUGUUUGUGCUGUGACGCAUUUCAUGAAAGCAUGUAAUUAAUGAACUGUUUUCUUUGUUUCUACUCACUGGGCUUUUUAGCUCACCCCUCUCCCCUAACCCCAGUGUUG
rnacentral:lncRNA from 1 species